AUUGAACGCUGGCGGCAUGCCUUACACAUGCAAGUCGAACGGCAGCGGGGGAGAAGCUUGCUUUUCCUGCCGGCGAGUGGCGAACGGGUGAGUAAUACAUCGGAACGUGCCCUGUAGUGGGGGAUAACUAGUCGAAAGAUUAGCUAAUACCGCAUACGACCUGAGGGUGAAAGUGGGGGACCGCAAGGCCUCAUGCUAUAGGAGCGGCCGAUGUCUGAUUAGCUAGUUGGUGGGGUAAAGGCCUACCAAGGCGACGAUCAGUAGCUGGUCUGAGAGGACGAGCAGCCACACGGGGACGGAGACACGGCCCAGACUCCUACGGGAGGCAGCAGUGGGGAAUUUUGGACAAUGGGCGAAAGCCUGAUCCAGCAAUGCCGCGUGUGUGAAGAAGGCCUUCGGGUUGUAAAGCACUUUUGUCCGGAAAGAAAUGGCUCUGGUUAAUACCUGGGGUCGAUGACGGUACCGGAAGAAUAAGGACCGGCUAACUACGUGCCAGCAGCCGCCGUAA
rnacentral:rRNA from 1 species